GACGAACGCUGGCGGCGUGCUUAACACAUGCAAGUCGAGCGAGGCCCACCUUUCGGGGUGGUGUCCUAGCGGCGAACGGGUGAGUAACACGUGGGCAACCUGCCCCCGGCUCGGGGAUAACCCCAAGAAAUCGGGGCUAAUACCGGAUACGACCGCUGACCGCAUGGUCUGGUGGUGGAAAGAUUUAUCGGCUGGGGAUGGGCCCGCGGCCUAUCAGCUUGUUGGUGGGGUAGUGGCCUACCAAGGCGACGACGGGUAGCCGGCCUGAGAGGGUGACCGGCCACACUGGGACUGAGACACGGCCCAGACUCCUACGGGAGGCAGCAGUGGGGAAUAUUGCGCAAUGGGCGGAAGCCUGACGCAGCGACGCCGCGUGGGGGAUGACGGCCUUCGGGUUGUAAACCUCUUUCAGCAGGGACGAAGUCGCAAGGUGAUGGUACCUGCAGAAGAAGCACCGGCCAACUACGUGCCAGCCGCCGCCGUAACAC
rnacentral:rRNA from 1 species